UACGGGGGGAGCAAGCGUUGUUCGGAUUUACUGGGCGUAAAGGGCGCGUAGGCGGCGUGACAAGUCACUUGUGAAAUCUCCGGGCUUAACCCGGAGCGGCCAAGUGAUACUGUCGUGCUAGAGUGCGGAAGGGGCAACUGGAAUUCUCGGUGUAGCGGUGAAAUGCGUAGAUAUCGAGAGGAACACCUGCGGCGAAGGCGGGUUGCUGGGCUGACACUGACGCUGAUGCGCGAAAGCUAGGGGAGCGAACGGG
rnacentral:rRNA from 1 species